rnacentral:rRNA from 1 species
CCUACGGGAGGCAGCAGUGGGGAAUUUUGGACAAUGGGCGCAAGCCUGAUCCAGCAAUGCCGCGUGAGUGAAGAAGGCCUUCGGGUUGUAAAGCUCUUUUGUCAGGGAAGAAAAGGUUACGAAUAAUACUCGUGGCUCAUGACGGUACCUGAAGAAUAAGCACCGGCUAACCACGUGCCAGCAGCCGCGGUAAUACGUAGGGUGCAAGCGUUAAUCGGAAUUACUGGGCGUAAAGCGUGCGCAGGCGGUUUUGUAAGACUGUCGUGAAAUCCCCGGGCUCAACCUGGGAAUGGCGAUGGUGACUGCAAGGCUAGAGUUUGACAGAGGGGGGUAGAAUUCCACGUGUAGCAGUGAAAUGCGUAGAUAUGUGGAGGAACACCGAUGGCGAAGGCAGCCCCCUGGGUCAAAACUGACGCUCAUGCACGAAAGCGUGGGGAGCAAACAGGAUUAGAUACCCUGGUAGUCCACGCCCUAAACGAUGUCUACUAGUUGUCGGGUCUUAAUUGACUUGGUAACGCAGCUAACGCGUGAAGUAGACCGCCUGGGGAGUACGGUCGCAAGNUUAAAACUUAAAUGAAUUGACCGGNNGNGNGNGCGAGCGACGACGAGGAGAG